AAUUUGAACAUUCGCUUGUGCGCAUAG
rnacentral:sRNA from 1 species